AGUGAACGCUGGCGGUAGGCCUAACACAUGCAAGUCGAACGGCAGCACAGUAAGAGCUUGCUCUUACGGGUGGCGAGUGGCGGACGGGUGAGGAAUACAUCGGAAUCUACUUUUUCGUGGGGGAUAACGUAGGGAAACUUACGCUAAUACCGCAUACGACCUACGGGUGAAAGCAGGGGAUCUUCGGACCUUGCGCGAUUGGAUGAGCCGAUGUCGGACUAGCUAGUUGGCGGGGUAAAGGCCCACCAAGGCGACGAUCCGUAGCUGGUCUGAGAGGAUGAUCAGCCACACUGGAACUGAGACACGGUCCAGACUCCUACGGGAGGCAGCAGUGGGGAAUAUUGGACAAUGGGCGCAAGCCUGAUCCAGCCAUACCGCGUGGGUGAAGAAGGCCUUCGGGUUGUAAAGCCCUUUUGUUGGGAAAGAAAAGCAGCAGGUUAAUACCCCGCUGUUCUGACGGUACCCAAAGAAUAAGCACCGGCUAACUUCGUG
rnacentral:rRNA from 1 species